GAUGGCAUCCCUCAUCUCUCUAACUUCACUCUCAGCCAUGGAGGCGCCGCCGCCCUGUCCCAUCCCCGUCGCCGCCCCUCUUCUCCCUUCCCACCGCCACCCCCUCCCUGCCGGCAUACUGAUUUGCCGCCCAUCCACGCUCGCUCACCACCUCCAUCCCCUAGCUCCUGAACAAAUUACCCUUUCUGGUAGCUCUCCCCGGUCGCCACUCCGGCAUCGCCCUGGCCGGCGGCCGCGCCGUGGAGCACUGCACGGGAUUCGUCGCCCAAGACGAUGUACACCACUCAUACCUCACCGUCCGCGAGACAUGUAGCUCUCCAACAACCUCCAGUUCACCCCCGUUGGACCACCGGGAUGAGGCAGAGGAGGUGGAGCUGGUUGUAGCCGCCGAGCGCGGCGUAGAAGUUGCGGGUGGCCAGUCCCGCCACACGACUAGACGCCGUCGCGACAUGUCGGAGGCAGAGCGCUUCUCGGUGGGCCUCGCCAACGUCGCGUGGAAGCUGUUUGACGAAAUGCCACACGGGGCAUUGGUGGUGUUGAACAUGAUGGUCAGGUGCUAUUUCAGGUGCUUCCAGUCCACUGCAGCACUCUUUUUUGGGUUCAGCCUCCGAGUUGAUAAUAAUGUUCAGCAGAUCUAGGUAUACAACUGCACAGUAUGUAUGCUGCGAUUGGAAGGGAGCCAGAGAACACAAAUUACACUCCAGGUUUUACUGGAACAUUAGACUAUAUGUUCUUGUUGGACGGCAGUUCAGUAAAACCUACUAGCCUACGGGAUUAUGUGGAUGUGGAAGGAGGUCUGCCCAUCCAGGACCAAGAUCAGUACAGUGUCACUGUUCUUUAGCCCCAUUAAAAAGAAGCCCUCCAAAGCUGGUGGCGACAAAGGAAACCGCGGGGAUAAGAUCAACAAACUAAUGGAGAAGCUGAACCGAGACAGUCUCCACUCAUAGUCCGCAAACAUGCGAUUGAUCUGUUACCUUACAUGUUUUGUAAUAGCAUAGCUGAUUGUACUUUUUUUAUGAAAUAGAAGUGGAGCAUGUACUGUUUAUAUUCAUAUAUUAUACUCCAACAAACACUAUAUUCAUUACCAUUGUUAUUGCGAGAAAUUUACACUAUAAUGAUAACUAUAUGUGCAAGAUAGUUCAAGGUAUGAUAUAUAUACAUCAA